rnacentral:rRNA from 1 species
AAUAAGCUAAAUAAGGGCGUAUGGGGAAUGCCUAGGCUCUCAGAGGCGAAGAAGGACGUGAUAAGCUGCGAAAAGUUGCGGGGAUUGGCACAUACAAAUUGAUCCGCAAAUAUCCGAAUGGGGCAACCCACUAUGUUGAAGACAUAGUAUCCUGAACUAGAUUCAGGAAGCAAACCCGGGGAACUGAAACAUCUAA